AUUAAUAUAAAUUAAAUUUUUCUACCCGCGAAGUUCGCGGGUGAUAACCUAGUAUAUAUAUAAAUAUGAUAAAUAAGAGCUGAUGUGUUAUGAUGUAAGGGCUUGGAAAAUGAUGUGGCAUCACCAUAGGCACUCUAGAAUUUGGUUUUGGCUCCAAAAUUCGGGUCAUAAAAAUUCGUGUAUAUGGGUUAACGCGGGAUCCAUUUCCUUUAAUUUUGACCCGACUUCAUUUGUACGAUAUCUGUGCUUCUUUUCCAAAACCCUAGAGAGCCUCCAUCUCCAUUCUCCUCCUGCCGCUCUCCUCUUUUCCCGUUCCAUUUUCACAACAAAAAAAACCCUAAUCGCAAUGGGCGAACUUGGCCGAAUCUUCGUCUACAACACUCUUGAUGGUGGCACAGCGGUGAGUAUUUCAAGCCGUUCAACGUCACCGCCAACGAAGAAUGCUUAUUUCCGCCGGAAUUCACUACCCUUGAGCCACACCUCAGAUGUGGCCUAAUUUGGUCGCCAAGAGCAAGGACGGUGGGGCUGAUGUCAUUCAAACUUAUGUAUUCUGGAGUGGCCAUGAGCCAGUUAGGCAACAGUAUAAUUUUGAAGGGAUAUAUGAUUUUGUCAAGUUUGUUAAAUUGGUGGGAGCAAGUGGCCUUUAUCUUCAUCUCCGGAUCGGUCCAUAUGUUUGUGCAUAGUGGAACUUCGGGGGUUUCCCUGUGUGGCUUCAUGAUAUUCCUGGAAUUGUAUUCUGUACUGACAAUGAACUCUUUAAGGAAGAGAUGAAACGUUUUGCUAAAAAAUAGUAGGUUUGAUUCGAGAGGAAUCUCUCUUCUCUUGGCAAGGUGGCCCAAUCAUCAUGCUACAGAUUGAAAAUGAGUAUGGAAAUAUUGAAGAGUCUUAUGGCCAAAAAGGAAAAGACUACGUAAAAUGGGCUGCAAAAAUGGCUGUUGGACUUGGAGUUGGCGUCCCAUGGGUUAUGUGCGAGCAAGCUGAUGCUCCGGAAUACAUUAUAGAUGCCUGCAAUGGAUACUAUUGUGAUGGUUUUAAACCUAACUCCAACGAAAAACCAGUACUUUGGACAGAAAAUUGGGAUGGAUGGGCGUGAGGCGGAAGAGGUUGAGCCCAUACUAGAUGCACUGCCGAAUCUAGAACAGUAAGUUAUCACCAUAAGAAUUAAUUGACGAUGGUACAUAUACUGCUCUUUAGCCGAUGUUUACCUUAAAUCCGCUCUUUUACCACAUCGUGAGGUCCGUUUUUAAACAUUUUUUAAACAACCUUUUACUAGGAAGCUCGAGACCGAGGCCUUACUAGAGUCAAAGGGUGUCAACUACACUUCUAUAAGACCCGUUUAUAUCUACGAUCCAUUGAACUACAACCCUGUCGAAGAGUGGUUUUUCCAUAGGUUGAAAGCGGGCCGACUCAUCCCCAUUCCCAACUCAGGUUUGCAAGUAUCCCAACUCGGUCACAUAAAGGUUUUGGCUACAGCUUCUAUAUAAAUAUGCUCCACACCAUUUUUAUAAGUUUUGACGUUUUAAUAUUUAUUUCCAAAGGCGUGAGGCGGAAGAGGUUGAGCCCAUACGAGAUGCACUGUCAAUCUAGAACAGUACAUAUACUGCUCUAAGAGCCGGUGUUUACCUUGAAUCCGAUAUUUUACCACAUUGCGAGAUUGAUGCGGUUGACCCUAAAGGCCGACACAAGGGGAAUCUCGAGACCGAGGCCCAACUAGAGUCAAAGGUGUCAACUACACUUCUAUAAGACCCGUUUAUAUCUACGACCCGCUGAACUACAACCCUGUCGAAGAGUGGUUUUUCCAUAGGUUGAAAGCGGGCCGACCCAUCCCCAUUCCCAAAUCAGGUUUGCAAGUAACUCAACUCGGUCACGUAAAGGUUAGUAAAAGUGUACAACUAAUAAUUAUUUUGUGACUUCAAAAGUCAAACGGUCUUGAUGUGUCAACGUUGACCAAAUGGAGGAUUUGGCCACAACUUUUAUAAAAGUUUUGGGGAAUGAAAAGCAAGCAAACAAGUGUACAACUUUUCGGGAGAUAGAUAUGUUACUUUCGAUGGAUUAGCAAGAGCUUGCGCUAAGGUAAAUCUUGCAGGCUGGUGGAUUCUCUGAGCCCGAGAUCAUUCACUAUAAUCCUAAGGAGUUCCAUUACGGUAAAAAGAAAGCAUUUCCAUUACAGGGCCAGGUAAACACCAACUUAUAUAUACGUGUGGAAAGUCAACCUUGUGUUUGACUUUUACCUAGGGGCCUAAAGUUUUUAAAAAUGACCCGACCCGAUACGAACCGAUUUUUUUACUUAUAUACCUAGGGGCCUAAAAUUUUAAAAAAUGUUCCGCACCCCUAUGGAAAAAUUCCUAGGUCCGCCACUGAGUAUCAAGCUUAAUCAUCCUUUGAUCGGGUAGGUUUUCAACUUGAUCUAUGUUAAGUUUUUGAUUCAGCUAAGAUUUCGUGUUUUAUUAUGCAGAUAUGCAAUGACAAAGAUCAAGCAAAUUCAUGGUUUCGUGGCUUAAAACUGUACUUUACUCGCUUUGUUGUUUUAAAAUUAAGGAAUUUGGCUUGAGUUGUCAUAUAAGUUUAAUAAAUUUUGGCCUUAUUGAGUUUUUUACACUAUAAUUUGUUUAACCAAGUGAUAUUAAGCGUAUAAUAAUUGAUUUUGUUAUGUUUCAUGUUGACAUAUGUGUGUAGAUGGUCUGUAUGUAUAUAGUGUGUUUCGCUACUU